GAACAGAGGAUCGUAUUGUGCCCAGAAUCAGGGCAGGGUAGCCAAGGAAGACCAUUGGCUGGGAGACCUCAGAGAAGCGGCCGAUGGACCCACGGCUCUGUAAAUCUAAGAACAGACUCCCUGAGACCAUCUGGUGACAAUGCUGUCUGCGGGGCAGAAUCUGCUUGCCUCUCAAGCUUCCAGGUGCUGUGUGCUGUUGGUCCAAGGACAAUGCCACACAGCCGGGCGCCCUCCCUUACACUGACUCACUUCCUCUCAUCAUUUGGAGGCCGGCCUACUGCCUGCCUGCCAACUGCCCGGAGAGGAUGAGCCCCACCAGGGCCAGGGACCUCCUUAUCUCACGGGACAACACCGCCUCUUCCCGUGUGGCCUAUUUCCCCCAUUUCCUCCAACGCAUUUUUAUAAACCAUCCCUUUAUAGGU